CAGUAGCCGCGGGAAUACGUAGGUGGCGAGCGUUGUCCGGAAUUAUUGGGCGUAAAGGGAGCGCAGGCGGACAUAUAAGUCCAUCUUAAAAGUGCGGGGCUCAACCCCGUGAGGGGAUGGAAACUGUAUGCCUUGAGUGCAGGAGAGGAAAGCGGAAUUCCCAGUGUAGCGGUGAAAUGCGUAGAUAUUGGGAGGAACACCAGUGGCGAAGGCGGCUUACUGGACGACAACUGACGUUGAGGCUCGAAGGCGUGGGUAGCAAACAGGAUUAGAUACCCCCGUAGUCCCUGUCUCUUAUACA
rnacentral:rRNA from 1 species